rnacentral:tRNA from 1 species
AAAGAAUUAGUUUAUUUAAAACGUUAGUCUUCAAAACUAAAAAUAUUUGAUACAAGUAUUCUUUG